rnacentral:ncRNA from 2 species
CAAUAAAAUAUAAAAAUAGGUGUCAGUUAUAAUAAAAAUUUUAAUUAUGAACUGGUGAAAAGGGAAGAUGGGUGUAAAUCCUACACGGUCCCGCCGCUGUAAAUGAGGAGCUUUUUUAUGUGUAACCACUGGUGUUAUUUAUACUGGGAAGGAUAGAAAAGUGAUGAUACUUAAGUCAGAAGACCUGCCUAUUUUUGUACACCGAU